GGCGGUCUGUCAAGUCGGAUGUGAAAUCCCCGGGCUCAACCUGGGAACUGCAUUCGAAACUGGCAGGCUUAGAGUCUUGUUAGAGGGGGGUAGAAUUUCAGGUGUAGCGGUGAAAUUGCGUAGAGAUCUGGAGGGAAUACCGGUGGCGAAGGCGGCCCCCUGGACAAAAGACUGACGCUCAGGUGCGAAAGCGUGGGGAGCAAAACAGGAUUUAGAUACCCUGGUAGUCCACGCCGUAAAACGAUGUCGACUUGGAGGUUGUGCCCUUGAGGCGUGGCUUCCGGAGCUAACGCGUUAAGUCGACCGCCUGGGGAGUACGGCCGCAAGGUUAAAACUCAAAUGAAUUGACGGGGGCCCGCACAAGCGGUGGAGCAUGUGGUUUAAUUCGAUGCAACGCGAAGAACCUUACCUACUCUUGACAUCCAGAGAACUUAGCAGAGAUGCUUUGGUGCCUUCGGGAACUCUGAGACAGGUGCUGCAUGGCUGUCGUCAGCUCGUGUUGUGAAAUGUUGGGUUAAGUCCCGCAACGAGCGCAACCCUUAUCCUUUGUUGCCAGCGGUUCGGUCGGGAACUCAAAGGAGACUGCCAGUGAUAAACUGGAGGAAGGUGGGGAUGACGUCAAGUCAUCAUGGCCCUUACGAGUAGGGCUACACACGUGCUACAAUGGCAUAUACAAAGAGAAGCGACCUCGCGAGAGCAAGCGGACCUCAUAAAGUAUGUCGUAGUCCGGAUUGGAGUCUGCAACUCGACUCCAUGAAGUCGGAAUCGCUAGUAAUCGUGGAUCAGAAUGCUACGGUGAAUACGUUCCCGGGCCUUGUACACACCGCCCGUCACACCAUGGGAGUGGGUUGCAAAAGAAGUAGGUAGCUUAA
rnacentral:rRNA from 1 species